GGCCUGGCGGCAGGAGGUGGGACGAGAUGCAGACUUCAGCCCCGAGUCUGGCUUACUUCAGGAUCCCUCAGGGCUGUCUCACCUCAGAGGCAGCGUGGGACCCCAGGCCACACCUUGUUUGCAGGCCUCGCCUAGAUCGUGGUAACAGCCAGAACUCAACAAUUUCUCCAAGUCAGCCUCCCCGCGGGCCGGAGUGGGGACUGAGACCAACAUGCACCCUCAUCUGUGGGCACGCAGGGACACAGCAAGUCCAGAAUGCCAAGAGGGAAAUCAAAACAGCUUUUCCUGCCUGGGAAACAGUAACAACCACUUCAGAGUGAUCACUGCCCGGCCACGCACAGCCUGGAGGAGCCCAUGUCCUAUUAGGGUAUCGGCUUUGCCUCCGAUUAUCUGGCAAAUAAACCAAUUUAGGAGUCCACCAGGGUCUUUCUGGCCACCUCUCCAGGGCCCUGGCUGGGCCAGUCCUGUCUUCAUUUCCAUACAGCCAGCAUCCUCAGUGAGAUGGAGAAAUGUCAUUAUUUACCAAGAAACCAAGAUCUGAAAAUGGCAAUUACUCGGCAGGUCAGCAGAAAGCCCCAGGAUACUUCUCUCCCCAGGAUUCAGCCAGCAGCUCGGAGCUGGAAGACACAGCCAGUGCCCACCCCACAGGCUCCCACCCCCUGUGAACUCACGUCCCAUUGGUUUACAAAAACGAGUAUGUAUCCCCCCCACAAAUACAUAUUCAUGCCUCCAAAUGUAAGUCUAUUGCAUACUUUAUAAAAUACAAACUGAAAAGUGGCAGUAAAAUGCAGAUAUAAACAUGA